UGGGGAAUUUUGGACAAUGGGGGCAACCCUGAUCCAGCCAUGCCGCGUGCGGGAAGAAGGCCUUCUGGGUUGUAAACUGCUUUUAUCCGGGGAUAAAAACACUGUGCGCAGUGGAUUGAAGGUACCGGAGGAAUAAGCCACGGCUAACUACGUG
rnacentral:rRNA from 1 species